UACGUAGGUGACGAGCGUUAUCCGGAAUUAUUGGGCGUAAAGCGCCCGCAGGCGGCUGUUCAAGUCUGACGUGAAAUCGCUCGGCUUAACUGGGCGGGGUCGUUGGAAACUGAAUAGCUUGAGGCAAGGAGAGGGGCGUGGAAUUCCCGGUGUAGUGGUGAAAUGCGUAGAGAUCGGGAGGAACACCAGUGGCGAAGGCGGCUCGCUGGGCCGGACCUGACGCUGAGACGCGAAGGCGUGGGGAGCGAACGGG
rnacentral:rRNA from 1 species